rnacentral:lncRNA from 1 species
AGAGCCGCCUUGUAGCCGUGGUGAUCGCCACCGAGUAGCCGCCGUGAUCGCCGCCGUCCUGCCGCCCAUCACAACGUAGUAGGCACCGCCCGUGGUUCCGGUGAACCGCCUCCGCCGUAUCGCCGCCCUGACCGCCGCCGUCCCGCCUCCGCCGCCCUUAUCGCCGCCGUAGAAAUUCGUCAAAAUUCGUAGAAAUUCGUAGAAAUUUGUAGAAAUUCAUAGAAAAUCGUAGAAAUUUGUAGAAAUUCAU